rnacentral:lncRNA from 1 species
GAACAAAGAGAAAAGCUCAUAGCUCUGAUUGCCUCUGUAAAGAAAUUGGAGAGAGCAUAUCCAGGCUCUAGAAUAAAAAGAAGCAAAUACAACCAACAGUAGUAGAUGGCAAGAAAUAAUCAAAUUCAGGACUAAAAACCAAGUAGAAACAAAGAGACCUUUCCAAACAAAGAAUAAACAAACCAGGAACUAGUUAUUGAAAAAAAAAAAUCAACAAGAUAGAUAAACCCUUAGCUAGACUAACCAGAGGGCACAGAGACAGUAUUCAAAUUAGCAAAAUCAGAAAUGAAAAGAGGCAUAACAACAGAAACUGAAGAAAUUAAAAAAAUCAGAUCCUACUACAAAAGCCUAUACACGACUAAACUGGAAAAUCUGGAUGAAAUGAAUAAUUUUAUAGACAGAUACCAGGUACCAAAGUUAAAUCAGGAUGAGAUAAACCAUCUCAACAGUCCCAUAACCCCUAAAGAAAUAGAAUCAGUCAUUAAAAAUCUGCCCCCCCCCCAAAAAAAAAGCCCAGGACCAGAUAGUCUUAAUGCACAGUUCUAUUAGGCUUUCAAUGAAGACAUAAUACCAAUACUCUUCAAACAGUUCCACAAAACAGAAACUGAAGGAACACUACAGAAUUCAUUGUGUGAAUCCACAAUUACUCUGAUACCUAAACCACACAAAGACUCAACAAAGAGAACUUCAGACUAAUUUUCCUUAUGAAUAUUGUUGCAAAAAUAUUCAAAAAAUUCUCACAAACUGAAUCCAAGAACAAAUCAAAAUGAUCAUUUACCAUGAUCAUUAGGCUUCAUCCCAGGGAUGUAGGGAUGGUUCAAUAUACUGAAAUCCAUCAACAUAAUCCACUAUAUAAACAAACUCAAAGGGAAAAAACCCCACAUGAUUAUUUCAUUGGAUGCUGAAAAACCAUUCGACAAAAUACACCAUGACUUCAUGUUAUAAGUCUUGGAAAGAUAAGAAAUUCAAGGCUCAUAACUAAACAUAAUGAAAGCAAUAUACAGCAAACCAAUAGACAACAUCAAACUAAAUGGAGAGAAACUUGAAGCAAUCCCACUAAAAUCAGAGAUAAGGCUGCCCACUCUAUCCCUUUCUAUUCAAAAUAGUACUUGAUGUUUUAACCACACCAAUUAGACAAAAAAGGAGGCCAAAGGGAUACAAAUUGG